rnacentral:rRNA from 1 species
AUUGAACGCUGGCGGCAGGACUAACACAUGCAAGUCGAGCGGAGCGGCGGACGGGGGAGUAAUGACUAGGAAUCUGCCUGGUAGUGGGGGAUAACGUCCGGAAAAGGGAGCUAAUACCGCAUACUAUCAGAUGAGCCUAGGUAGGAUUGGCUAGUUGGUUGGGUAAAGGCAUACAAAGGAGACGGUCCGUAACUGGUCUGAGAGGAUGAUCAGUCAAACUGGAACUGCGACACGGUCCAGACUCCUACGGCAGGCAGCAGUGGGGAAUAUUGGACAAUGGGCGAAAGCCUGAUCCAGCCAUGCCGCGUGUGUGAAGAAGGUCUUCGGAUUGUAAAGCACUUUAAGUUGGGAGGCGUUACCAACAGAAUAAGCACCGGCUAACUUCGUGCCAGCAGCCGCGGUAAUAC